rnacentral:rRNA from 1 species
CGUGUAGGCGGGAAUACAAGUCAGAUGUGAAAUACUGUGGCUCAACCACAGAACGGCAUCUGAAACUGUAUUUCUUGAGUACUGGAGAGGAGAGCGGAAUUCCUAGUGUAGCGGUGAAAUGCGUAGAUAUUAGGAGGAACACCGGUGGCGAAGGCGGCUUUCUGGACAGUAACUGACGCUGAGACGCGAAAGCGUGGGGAGCAAACAGGAUUAGAUACCCUGGUAGUCC